AUUGAACGCUGGCGGCAUGCCUUACACAUGCAAGUCGAACGGUAACAGGUCUUCGGAUGCUGACGAGUGGCGAACGGGUGAGUAAUACAUCGGAACGUGCCUAGUAGUGGGGGAUAACUACUCGAAAGAGUGGCUAAUACCGCAUGAGAUCUACGGAUGAAAGCAGGGGAUCACAAGACCUUGUGCUACUAGAGCGGCCGAUGGCAGAUUAGGUAGUUGGUGGGAUAAAAGCUUACCAAGCCGACGAUCUGUAGCUGGUCUGAGAGGACGAUCAGCCACACUGGGACUGAGACACGGCCCAGACGCCUACGGGAGGCAGCAGUGGGGAAUUUUGGACAAUGGGCGCAAGCCUGAUCCAGCAAUGCCGCGUGCAGGAUGAAGGCCUUCGGGUUGUAAACUGCUUUUGUACGGAACGAAAAGCCCUGGGUUAAUACCCUGGGGUCAUGACGGUACCGUAAGAAUAAGCACCGGCUAACUACGUGCCAGCCGCCGCAGUAAUAC
rnacentral:rRNA from 1 species